CAUUUGUACCUGGUGUGAUUAUAAAGCAAUGAGACUGAUUGUCAUAUGUCGUUUGUGGGAUCCGUCUCAGUUACUUUAUAGCCAUACCUGGUAUCUUA
rnacentral:pre_miRNA from 2 species